CUUUCUCUCAACUAUAUUGAUACGUACAGUAUAACAUCUUCUCUGUGCUUCCUAUGCUGAGUAUCUCUCUCCCUGUAGGCCCCCUCAGCCCCAGAGCACCAACCAGGACCCCCAACAGGACCAAGGAUCUACCCAGGGCCAGGCUCCUGAUACUGGGUAUACACAUCAGCAGCAUGAUGCUGCUGGUGCUUCUGCUGCUGGACCAAGUCAUGUGACUUACGUCCAGAUUCAACUGAACAAGUUUGACAAGAAAAAGAAAGUAAAGAGAGAUUAUCCAAAAUAAAAUCCUGUCUACUCUGAGGUGAAGACAGGGGAAGCCACAGCAGCUGGACCUGUUGAUGUGACCUAUGCUGAGGUUGACCUCCAAAAGAAGGUCAAAGCCAAUAAGAAGAGAGAAAAAGCAACCCCACCAGCGGCAGAUUGUAUUUUCUUAAGUGAAGCCACACACAGCCCCAGGUUGUUGUUCUAGAAGCUGACAGCCUAGUGAAUGUUCCAGCAGGUGAGAGGCCAGAACCACAGCCCUCUUCCAUCUCUGAAGGUGACAUCAAUCCACGACACUGCAGGGAGACCAGGAGCAGCAGUACCAGCAGUAGCAGGAGGAGAAGAAGUCCAUCCAGGAGACAAAGAGUACACUUCACCAGAAGAGAGGACAGAAUCACAGAGCCCUUCUGAGGCAGAGCCUACAUCAGUCUUCCAUAGUCUUCUACAGCACCGUAAAGAAACCAGCUGCAGCACAACGCCAUCGAGUGGACAAAGACUGGAAUAACUUCAACAAACCAGACAGUGUACUGGACAAAAGGAGAUACAUUACCCCUCCAUCCCUCUCCAUAGCUAGGUUUCCAUUAAUUUGUCCAGUGAUCUUUUGUUAACAUUUAGCAAGUUUGCAUAGAAAAUAGAUGUGACAAUAGAGGAGGUCCAUAAAGAUGGCGGCCUCCAUGCACUUACCACACAUUCUUUGUUUGGCUAAGUUCAGCGUAUUUUGCAUUGCUCUCCAUUAAUAUUUCUUUGUAAGUUCAUUAGCACAAUAUACAUAAUAUAAAUGUUAGCUUCAAGACGCCAGAAAUUUCAAAAAGUAGAUUGUGCUUCAUUGAACCAUGUCGUGCGCCGUAAUUAAAAAAUUCAGUGGAUAAUGCUAAAAUAAUGAUGUCAUAUCUGAAUUCUGCCAUAUUUAUGCAUGUGUGCCAUUAUCUGCUAUAGUGCAUUUCCAUUGAACUGACUUGAGAAGUCAUUGAUUGAAUUGGAGUUUCAGUUUACUUCCUGAAUUGGACCCAAUUAAUCAAUCAAUCAACUAUUCCAUCAACCAACCAACCAGUCAGUCAUCUGGGUAUAUCAUUAUUUUUCUAAUAUAUACUGUAUGUCUAAUUAUUAAUAAG